GAUUGAAGAACGCAGCGAAAUGCGAUACGUAAUGUGAAUUGCAGAAUUCAGUGAAUCAUCGAAUCUUUGAACGCAUAUUGCGCUCUCUGGUAUUCCGGAGAGCAUGCUUGUUUGAGUAUCAGUAAACACCUCAACUUCCAUAUCUUUUUUGAAAUGGGAGUUGGACUUGAGUGAUCCCAACGCUUUUCCUCACCGAAAAGUGGCGGGUUACUUGAAAUGCAGGUGCAGCUGGACUUUUCUCUGAGCUAUAAGCAUAUCUAUUUAGUCUGCCUAAAAACAGAUUAUUACCUUUGCUGCAGCUAACAUAAAGGAGAUUAGUUCUUGUGCUGACUGAUGCAGGAUUCACAAAGACAGGCUUCGGCCGACUUUGUAAACUCGAUCUCAAAUCAAGUAAGACUACCCGCUGAACUUAAGCAUAUCAAUAAGCGGAGGA
rnacentral:misc_RNA from 1 species